rnacentral:rRNA from 1 species
GCCUACGGGGCGCAGCAGUGAGGAAUAUUGGUCAAUGGACGGAAGUCUGAACCAGCCAAGUCGCGUGAGGGAAGGCGGUCCUAUGGAUUGUAAACCUCUUUAGGCGGGGAGCAAUGCCGGGCACGCGUGUCCGGAGGGAGAGUACCCGCAGAAUAAGCAUCGGCUAACUCCGUGCCAGCAGCCGCGGUAAUACGGAGGAUGCGAGCGUUAUCCGGAUUUAUUGGGUUUAAAGGGUGCGUAGGCGGAUUUUUAAGUCAGCGGUAAAAUCGAGAGGCUCAACCUCUUUCCGCCGUUGAAACUGUCGG